GAUGAACGCUAGCUACAGGCUUAACACAUGCAAGUCGAGGGGCAGCAUGGUCUUAGCUUGCUAAGGCCGAUGGCGACCGGCGCACGGGUGAGUAACACGUAUCCAACCUGCCGUCUACUCUUGGACAGCCUUCUGAGAGGAAGAAUUAAUACAAGAUGGCAUCAUGAGUCCGCAUGUUCACAUGAUUAAAGGUAUUCCGGUAGACGAUGGGGAUGCGUUCCAUUAGAUAGUAGGCGGGGUAACGGCCCACCUAGUCUUCGAUGGAUAGGGGUUCUGAGAGGAAGGUCCCCCACAUUGGAACUGAGACACGGUCCAAACUCCUACGGGAGGCAGCAGUGAGGAAUAUUGGUCAAUGGGCGAGAGCCUGAACCAGCCAAGUAGCGUGAAGGAUGACUGCCCUAUGGGUUGUAAACUUCUUUUAUAAAGGAAUAAAGUCGGGUAUGCAUACCCGUUUGCAUGUACUUUAUGAAUAAGGAUCGGCUAACUCCGUGCCAGCAGCCGCGGUAAUACGGAGGAUCCGAGCGUUAUCCGGAUUUAUUGGGUUUAAAGGGAGCGUAGAUGGAUGUUUAAGUCAGUUGUGAAAGUUUGCGGCUCAACCGUAAAAUUGCAGUUGAUACUGGAUAUCUUGAGUGCAGUUGAGGCAGGCGGAAUUCGUGGUGUAGCGGUGAAAUGCUUAGAAAUCACGAAGAACUCCGAUUGCGAAGGCAGCCUGCUAAGCUGCAACUGACAUUGAGGCUCGAAAGUGUGGGUAUCAAACAGGAUUAGAUACCCUGGUAGUCCACACGGUAAACGAUGAAUACUCGCUGUUUGCGAUAUACAGCAAGCGGCCAAGCGAAAGCGUUAAGUAUUCCACCUGGGGAGUACGCCGGCAACGGUGAAACUCAAAGGAAUUGACGGGGGCCCGCACAAGCGGAGGAACAUGUGGUUUAAUUCGAUGAUACGCGAGGAACCUUACCCGGGCUUAAAUUGCAGAUGAAUUACGGUGAAAGCCGUAAGCCGCAAGGCAUCUGUGAAGGUGCUGCAUGGUUGUCGUCAGCUCGUGCCGUGAGGUGUCGGCUUAAGUGCCAUAACGAGCGCAACCCUUGUUGUCAGUUACUAACAGGUUCCGCUGAGGACUCUGACAAGACUGCCAUCGUAAGAUGUGAGGAAGGUGGGGAUGACGUCAAAUCAGCACGGCCCUUACGUCCGGGGCUACACACGUGUUACAAUGGGGGGUACAGAGGGCCGCUACCACGCGAGUGGAUGCCAAUCCCAAAAACCUCUCUCAGUUCGGACUGGAGUCUGCAACCCGACUCCACGAAGCUGGAUUCGCUAGUAAUCGCGCAUCAGCCACGGCGCGGUGAAUACGUUCCCGGGCCU
rnacentral:rRNA from 1 species